rnacentral:lncRNA from 1 species
GGUGAAGCUCCUGGAGAAAUCACAGCCCCCCUAAACCAAGGAAAUAAGCCUGCCUUUUUUUCCUCUCAAAGUUCAGGUGCAGUAGGACUAAAACUGAAUUGAGUUUCCUGUUUAAACCUGGUCCCUGCCUCAGGAUUUCCCAGAGAAGCAGGAAGCAGUGCCCUGGACUGGGAAUUGAAUUUCUGGGUGUCUGCCUUCCCAACUAGUAUAACCCACAGUAAGUCCCUCCCUGGCCUCUCCCAGUCCACCUUCCUCUAGGGAGGCCUAGGUCUCAAGGGUGUGCCAGGACAAAGGAAUUUACCUCUGAGCACCGCCCCCAACCCCUUGUGCCCCAGUCCUAGAGGGUGGGCAGCCCGUGGCUAGGGGCUGCAGAGGGCCGUGUUCCUCAGUUCGGAGGGUGAGUCAGCGGGAGAACUUCUGAGCUGUGCAGGGCCUGUAAAAACCCCAUGGCAGGGAUCCCAGAGCAAUUUACUCCAAAUUGCGCCUUCAGGUUGGUUACCUAAUCUUGCCGCGCCCACCCUCCAAUAGCCAGUGUCAGCGGUGACCAUCCCUUUAAAGGGGCAGCACACUCCGGGUGCUGGGGACCCAGGAUCCUCACUCAGCUCCCAACCAGCGGCCCUGAGGGGCAAGGCACUUGGUGGUUGCCCCAGCCUGGGAGAGGUGACACAGGCGUCCUCUGACCCUAGCCUGAAGCAAAGAAAACCAAGGGUUUCAGCCCCAGACGGGCAGAGUCACCCCAAAUUCCACAACUGCGACGAUCAAGAAGGGAAUCCUUCUAAGGUCAGCAGCGGAGACGCCGGGAGCUCUUGGGGUAGGGCCGCUGUGAGACAUCAAGAAGUUGGCAGGGGGCGCGGGGGAGGGGGGCUCCCAUGACCCUCGUCUCGUGGAAUCCAAGACAUCUGGCAUCCCAGCCCAGGUCCGUCUGCCCUAAUGAAGGAACCUCCGACGGCUCCGGGUACAGGUCCCAGGUGUGUAUGGGGUGAGGCGGGGGUCAGAUCUAAGCGCAGCACAG